rnacentral:rRNA from 1 species
GUGUCAGCCGCCGCGGUAAUACGUAGGUGGCGAGCGUUAUCCGGAUUUACUGGGCGUAAAGUGAGCGCAGACGGUUCUUCAAGUCAGUUGUUAAAUCUCUCGGCCUAACCGGGUGAGCGCAUCUGAUACUGUUGAACUAGAGGACAACAGAGGGAGGUAGAAUUCCCGGUGUAGUGGUGGAAUGCGUAGAUAUCGGGAGGAAUACCAGUGGCGAAGGCGGCCUCCUGGGUUGUUUCUGACGUUCAUGCUCGAAGGUGUGGGGAGCGAACAGGAUUAGAAACCCCCGUAGUCC